rnacentral:rRNA from 1 species
GGUUAAGUUAGAAAGGGCGCACGGUGGAUGCCUUGACACUAGGAGUCGAUGAAGGACGGGACUAACGCCGAUAUGCUUCGGGGAGCUGUAAGUAAGCUUUGAUCCGAAGAUUUCCGAAUGGGGAAACCCACCAUACGUAAUGGUAUGGUAUCCUUAUCUGAAUACAUAGGGUAAGGAAGACAGACCCAGGGAACUGAAACAUCUAAGUACCUGGAGGAAGAGAAAGCAAAUGCGAUUUCCUGAGUAGCGGCGAGCGAAACGGAACAUAGCCCAAACCAAGAGGCUUGCCUCUUGGGGUUGUAGGACAUUCUAUACGGAGUUACAAAGGAACGAGGUAGACGAAGCGACCUGGAAAGGUCCGUCGUAGAGGGUAACAACCCCGUAGUCGAAACUUCGUUCUCUCUUGAAUGUAUCCUGAGUACGGCGGAACACGUGAAAUUCCGUCGGAAUCUGGGAGGACCAUCUCCCAAGGCUAAAUACUCCCUAGUGAUCGAUAGUGAACCAGUACCGUGAGGGAAAGGUGAAAAGCACCCCGGAAGGGGAGUGAAAGAGAUCCUGAAACCGUGUGCCUACAAAUAGUCAGAGCCCGUUAACGGGUGAUGGCGUGCCUUUUGUAGAAUGAACCGGCGAGUUACGAUCCCGUGCAAGGUUAAGCUGAAGAGGCGGAGCCGCAGCGAAAGCGAGUCUGAAUAGGGCGUUUAGUACGUGGUCGUAGACCCGAAACCAGGUGAUCUACCCAUGUCCAGGGUGAAGUUCAGGUAACACUGAAUGGAGGCCCGAACCCACGCACGUUGAAAAGUGCGGGGAUGAGGUGUGGGUAGCGGAGAAAUUCCAAUCGAACCUGGAGAUAGCUGGUUCUCCCCGAAAUAGCUUUAGGGCUAGCCUUAAGUGUAAGAGUCUUGGAGGUAGAGCACUGAUUGGACUAGGGGUCCUCAUCGGAUUACCGAAUUCAGUCAAACUCCGAAUGCCAAUGACUUAUCCUUAGGAGUCAGACUGCGAGUGAUAAGAUCCGUAGUCAAAAGGGAAACAGCCCAGACCGCCAGCUAAGGUCCCAAAGUGUGUAUUAAGUGGAAAAGGAUGUGGAGUUGCUUAGACAACUAGGAUGUUGGCUUAGAAGCAGCCACCAUUUAAAGAGUGCGUAAUAGCUCACUAGUCGAGUGACUCUGCGCCGAAAAUGUACCGGGGCUAAAUACACCACCGAAGCUGCGGAUUGAUACCAAUGGUAUCAGUGGUAGGGGAGCGUUCUAAGGACAGUGAAGUCAGACCGGAAGGACUGGUGGAGUGCUUAGAAGUGAGAAUGCCGGUAUGAGUAGCGAAAGACGGGUGAGAAUCCCGUCCACCGAAUGCCUAAGGUUUCCUGAGGAAGGCUCGUCCGCUCAGGGUUAGUCAGGACCUAAGCCGAGGCCGACAGGCGUAGGCGAUGGACAACAGGUUGAUAUUCCUGUACCACCUCUUUAUCGUUUGAGCAAUGGAGGGACGCAGAAGGAUAGAAGAAGCGUGCGAUUGGUUGUGCACGUCCAAGCAGUUAGGCUGAUAAGUAGGCAAAUCCGCUUAUCGUAAAGGCUGAGCUGUGAUGGGGAAGCUCCUUAUGGAGCGAAGUCUUUGAUUCCCCGCUGCCAAGAAAAGCUUCUAGCGAGAUAAAAGGUGCCUGUACCGCAAACCGACACAGGUAGGCGAGGAGAGAAUCCUAAGGUGUGCGAGAGAACUCUGGUUAAGGAACUCGGCAAAAUGACCCCGUAACUUCGGGAGAAGGGGUGCUUUCUUAACGGAAAGCCGCAGUGAAUAGGCCCAAGCGACUGUUUAGCAAAAACACAGCUCUCUGCGAAGCCGUAAGGCGAAGUAUAGGGGGUGACACCUGCCCGGUGCUGGAAGGUUAAGGAGAGGGGUUAGCGUAAGCGAAGCUCUGAACUGAAGCCCCAGUAAACGGCGGCCGUAACUAUAACGGUCCUAAGGUAGCGAAAUUCCUUGUCGGGUAAGUUCCGACCCGCACGAAAGGUGUAACGAUUUGGGCACUGUCUCAACCAGAGACUCGGUGAAAUUAUAGUACCUGUGAAGAUGCAGGUUACCCGCGACAGGACGGAAAGACCCCGUGGAGCUUUACUGUAGCCUGAUAUUGAAUUUUGGUACAGUUUGUACAGGAUAGGCGGGAGCCAUUGAAACCGGAGCGCUAGCUUCGGUGGAGGCGCUGGUGGGAUACCGCCCUGACUGUAUUGAAAUUCUAACCUACGGGUCUUAUCGACCCGGGAGACAGUGUCAGGUGGGCAGUUUGACUGGGGCGGUCGCCUCCUAAAGUGUAACGGAGGCGCCCAAAGGUUCCCUCAGAAUGGUUGGAAAUCAUUCGUAGAGUGCAAAGGCAUAAGGGAGCUUGACUGCGAGACCUACAAGUCGAGCAGGGACGAAAGUCGGGCUUAGUGAUCCGGUGGUUCCGCAUGGAAGGGCCAUCGCUCAACGGAUAAAAGCUACCCCGGGGAUAACAGGCUUAUCUCCCCCAAGAGUCCACAUCGACGGGGAGGUUUGGCACCUCGAUGUCGGCUCAUCGCAUCCUGGGGCUGUAGUCGGUCCCAAGGGUUGGGCUGUUCGCCCAUUAAAGCGGUACGCGAGCUGGGUUCAGAACGUCGUGAGACAGUUCGGUCCCUAUCCGUCGUGGGCGUAGGAAAUUUGAGAGGAGCUGUCCUUAGUACGAGAGGACCGGGAUGGACGCACCGCUGGUGUACCAGUUGUUCUGCCAAGGGCAUAGCUGGGUAGCUAUGUGCGGAAGGGAUAAGUGCUGAAAGCAUCUAAG